rnacentral:lncRNA from 1 species
GUGUCUGACGUGCAUGCGAAGUAGAGGAUCUGCACAUCCAGACCUCCAUAAAAAUUUAUAUCAGAUAAUUUGAUAUUUGAUCUCUAGUUCUACUUUUAAUUAGAUAAAAAUUUGAUUCUUAAUCAUGUAGAUGAAUAAAAAAAUUUUUAGAUGCAACCUGGGCCUUUCGAGGAGAAACAGUUUCUUUCCCUUCAAUUAGUAUCAGAGCAGGCCUAAAAUAUAUACAUACAUAAU